GAUGAACGCUGGCGGCAUGCCUAACACAUGCAAGUCGAUCGGUAAGGCUCUUCGGAGUACACGAGAGGCGGACGGCUGAGUAACGCGUAGGAACACACCCUGCAGUGAGGGAUAAGACACCGAAAGGUGUUCUAAUACCGCAUACGGUCUUCGGAUUAAAGCAUUUAUGCGCUGAAGGAGUGGCCUGCGUCAUAUUAGAUAGUUGGUGAGGUAAUGGCUCACCAAGUCGAUGAUGUGUAGCUGGUCUGAGAGGAUGAUCAGCCAGACUGGAACUGAGACACGGUCCAGACUCCUACGGGAGGCAGCAGUGAGGAAUAUUGCACAAUGAGCGAAAGCGUGAUGGAGCAAUGCCGCGUGCAGGAUGAAGGCCCUCGGGUUGUAAACUGCUUUUAUAAGAGAAGAUUAUGACGGUAACUUAUGAAUAAGGGACGGCUAACUACGUG
rnacentral:rRNA from 1 species